AGUGAACGCUGGCGGUAGGCCUAACACAUGCAAGUCGAACGGCAGCACAGUAAGAGCUUGCUCUUACGGGUGGCGAGUGGCGGACGGGUGAGGAAUACAUCGGAAUCUACUUUUUCGUGGGGGAUAACGUAGGGAAACUUACGCUAAUACCGCAUACGACCUACGGGUGAAAGCAGGGGAUCUUCGGACCUUGCGCGAUUGAAUGAGCCGAUGUCGGAUUAGCUAGUUGGCGGGGUAAAGGCCCACCAAGGCGACGAUCCGUAGCUGGUCUGAGAGGAUGAUCAGCCACACUGGAACUGAGAAACGGUCCAGACACCUACGGGAGGAAGCAGUGGGGAAUAUUAGACAAGGGGCGAAAGGCUGAUCCAGCCAUACCGCGUGGGUGAAGAAGGACUUCGGGUUGGAAAGCCCUUUUGUUGGGAAAGAAAAGCAGCAGGUUAACACCCCGCUGUUAUGUCGGUACCCAAAGAAUAAGCACCGGCUAACUUCGUG
rnacentral:rRNA from 1 species